GACGAACGCUGGCGGCGUGCUUAACGCAUGCAAGUCGAACGGAAAGGCCCUGCUUUUGUGGGGUGCUCGAGUGGCGAACGGGUGAGUAACACGUGAGUAACCUGCCCUUGACUUUGGGAUAACUUCAGGAAACUGGGGCUAAUACCGGAUAGGAGCUCCUGCUGCAUGGUGGGGGUUGGAAAGUUUCGGCGGUUGGGGAUGGACUCGCGGCUUAUCAGCUUGUUGGUGGGGUAGUGGCUUACCAAGGCUUUGACGGGUAGCCGGCCUGAGAGGGUGACCGGCCACAUUGGGACUGAGAUACGGCGCAGACUCCUACGGGAGGCAGCAGUGGGGAAUAUUGCACAAUGGGCGGAAGCCUGAUGCAGCAACGCCGCGUGCGGGAUGACGGCCUUCGGGUUGUAAACCGCUUUCGCCUGUGACGAAGCGUGAGUGACGGUAAUGGGUAAAGAAGCACCGGCUAACUACGUG
rnacentral:rRNA from 1 species